UUCACUAUAAAUACAUAUUAUUAAUUGUUAAUCUGCCCUGUUCAGAUUGAAACGUUCAGUUACGCACUAUCCGUUAAUAGACUGGACGUAUCAUUAUAUGGAUUAUAUUCCAUGGGUUUUACUUUACUUUUUUCGAUGUCCACUGCGAUUGCAUUAAAAUUAAUUGUUUUAGUUCAAAUACAACUCAAGGAGUAAAUCGAUCUAAGUAUGAACAACAGUCAACAUCAAACUUAAAUACACGAAGACCGACCUACGGACACAUUAUUAGGGAGAAAAGACCGGACAAAUUAUCGAUCAAAUACCAAGGAAACGACACUUCCAACACUUCGAUACAAAGAUAGAAUCUCUUAGCUUGGAGCUGUUACAUAGGAGCUGUAAAAUCAAUGUUAAAGGAUUAUUUCGGAUUGAUUUGUCACUUUUGUACUCGGUGUGUUGAGUCGUGUUGAGUUAGAGCUUUUCCUAACAAUGUAUACCCAUUUUCAGUCGAUAGCUACAAUGACGAGUUACUUGAUUGUUUCUGUGCAGUUCCAGAUGACAACAUGAGUGAGAUACGCUCCAUAUAAGCGUUAUCCAUCCCAAUGUGGAAUGAUUUAUGUACAGUAGAACGCAUAUCAUCUUAUCAAUCAUCGGCCGCCAUCGUUAGAAUUCCAAUUUUAUGUCACUGAUCGCUAGUGAGG